CGGUGUUGAGGCUUUGGUGGCGAAAAUUGGUUGGGGCUUUUUCCUUGUUGCAUGUUCUUUUGUUUUGUGUUGCGAACCUUUCAUUGAAUUCAACGCAGAGUUGAUUUUCUUCCGAUGACUAGAUGUGUGGUUGCUGGCGAGGUGACGGUGACUGUGAAGGUCGGGCUAUGUGGGUUGAGGAUUAGGAUUUUUUCCCUGCAUUUUUGUUGAUUGGGCUUUGGCCAACCCCACCUUAUUGGGCUAAUUUGAUGUACUUGUACCGGACCUUCUUCUAUCAAUGAAAUUGCUUGCUUUGUUUUCCACAACCACUAUAAGUGAAAUGCUAAGGAGACUCUCUCAAAGUGAGACUCUAUAUAAACUCUCUACCACAUCAUAGAUCAACUUCCGUAUCAACAUUAUAAAACAUUAUGCAAAAUACAUGAAAUGACAAAGAGCUCAUAAAGAAACUCACAUUUGAGAUAGUCUCAUUAAUAUUUCUCUUCCGAUUCUCUUUUUCGAAAACAAAACAAAAAACUCUCAUAGCUUACCAACAAAUCAAACAAAUAUACCACGUGUUUGGUCUAGUGUAAGUAUCCACAUGAUCAAGUUUACAAGUAUAUGUAAACAAAAAAAAAAAAACAUAUAUUAUGAAAAUAUCUUUGAGCGAUAACCGAGUAUUUCAUCCGGUAAGAGCCUACUUAAUUUUGUUACGUGUUAUAAUACUCUAUGUAUUGGAUUCGAUCUUUGGAUUAAGUAAUGAUUUUUGCAAAUAUCACCUAAGAUUUGCUUAAUGUCAGAUAGCUAUUGAUAGGAUUAAAAGCACAUCACAAAGUAGCACAUAAAUGUCUUAUUAAUUUUCUUUAUUAACACUAAGAUUUGUCAAUUGUAGCAUAUGAAAAUAAGGGUCUUUUCUGCAGAAAAUUGUUUGAUCUAACUACUUAAAAUGUCACAAAAACUGGGCUGCUAUCCCUACUGACCAGCCAUCGAAAAAUAAUUAUUAGACCGACUUACAUUUAUUUAAAUUCAACAAAAUUUUAUACGCAAACACUAGACACACAGCGGACACUCUCACAAAGUUUUGGGAUUUUUGGAGUUGAUUUGCUAUUUUAAUUAAAUCAAACAAAAACAGGACAUAAGGAAAUUUUAAAUAAUAAAAAUAGAGUGUAGUCCACAAGUUAAGAAAACUAGUUAGGGGAAUAGCUACCCACCAACAAAUAAUCAUACAAACAUGUUAUGUUUCAUUCAAAUUCCUUUUAUUUCUAGAUGAAGAUGCUCAAGUUGGCUCAAUGUUAGAACUCAAUCUAUUACUCUUUCUUCCGUAGUAUGUUAAGAGAAUGACAUUUUCAACUUAACUUAGUCCCUAGCAUGCAAUCUAGAAUGGUGAGUUCAUAGAUUUAGUAAGUAGAAAUCAUUAAGAAUGAAAAGAGUUUGAGUCAUCACAAGGUAUCGAAAGUACUAGCGUUGUCUUAUUUAUCCUAGAAAUCGAUUCACAUAUGUUAAUCACAAUAAAUAAGCACUACUCUAGAACAUAUGUGGGUCCUCAUUCAAUAAGGGUGGACACACACAUAUUCAUAGCAUUAGUCUUGGUUUGGUAUUGCUGUGCUUUGAAAAAAUAUUGCUUCUACUGUGCUGUGAAAAUAA
rnacentral:lncRNA from 1 species